AGGCCGUCAGCUGGACUGGAAAAUUCGUUCGUUUCGCUCCAGCAAUCGCGGGUCUAAAAAUUUUUAACAGUUGUACCGAAAUACACUUCCAAAGAAUGAUACUACAAAAGUUCUCCACAUUUCGUCCAGCAGUUUUUUGAUAAUUUGACUCGAAAAAGCGAACUAUUUGUCCACUGUGGACGUUCAAAAACGUACCGCGCCUACGUUAAAAAAAUCCGCUGCGUAUGACGCAUCGUACCACGUGACGUGAACUGUCCAAUUAGACACCAGAUAUGAGGUCGCAGGUCAUGACAUUUAACAAACAUGGCGGUGUCCAUUGGCAAAAGUGCGUCAACGUAAACAUCGACCGGUGCAAAAAAGAAGUGUUUGUACUCAUAAUCUGUCACGUUUGAGGGAGGAAAUGCGAAGGAUCUGAUGUCCGGUGAUAGUAAGUUCAUUUCCUGUGCCAAAGAGUGGCUGAAUUUCACAAUGGCAUCGCCGAAUAUACCCACGAUGUGUGGGCAGUGGAUCUGCCAUGUCUGUAUCGUACGUACUGUACAGUACUACAUCAUGCACUACCGGCGCAUGUAAACAAGGCAGUCCGGCCGGCCGAGCUCACCCGUGGCGGUUUUUAUAGAUAGUAAACGUCUCGGUGCUGCAAGAAAACGCAAACCAGACACUUCAGCUGAGACCAAGAUUUCUUCACCGAAAAAGCUCCGGGCAAAGUUCAAGUUUCUUUGAAUUGCCUAUCUACAUAACUGUGUCAUGCUGCACACAAACUCAACCAGGAUUUUGAUUUCGAUGAAAACCUCAAUUCAAGGACAGUACAACAAGCAGAACUUCCGUUGGAGGCCUAAAGGAUGAACGUCAGGAAAAGGGAGAUGUUCUGCGACUGACUGUUCAACCCCGAUCAACAACUUAGUGUCAUGAGAAUGUCCCAGCUUGCUGAACUGUUGGAAUCAUGAAAUGAUUUAGAAACCGAAGGAACUGGCCUUGGAUCUUUAUAUCGAACUGACAAGUUGACAUAUCGGCUUAGAAGAGAAUAUCCACAGAUCUCUUUCCUUGAUAUAUGGGACAUCAUCUACACCGCUACUUUAUCUGCUGGAUGUGUAGUUGAAUCUCUGGGGACUUCAGAGGAGGAUUCAAAACUGAAACUUUUGCUUAGAAAGCAAGACAUACGCUCCACCCUGUUGUUAUGCUGUUACUGCACAAGAUUUGAUGAGAACUUUGAUGUAGUGAUAACAUUUACUUGAAGUUGUAUCAGCACGACUAGUUAGCAUUUGACAUUAUAAUGAAAAUAAUGAGUAACUCUAGAUUUCAAAACUACAUAAUUGUAUCCUUCUGUUCAUUAGUGUUGGUUUUAUUCAUUUUAAUUCUUUUCAAUUAUUAAAAAUUAGUUCCAGUAAAAAAGGCAAAUUCUGUGAAUUUUAACAGUGAGACUAGCCACAUAUGACAAGCCAAAUCACUCUCUUUAAUGUGUAAGCAUACAAAAUAGCAUGAGUUAUGGUUUUGUUUUCUUUUUAUUGAUAUACAUGCAAACAUUUAUACGUGCUAAUCAAUGUAUCAAUAAAUAAAAAGCUGACAUUUUCUUUGACAAAAGACUGAUCUUAAGGCUUUUCUCCAAACCAAGAUGGCUGUUUUGAUUAGAUAGCAAAUAAAUGUACAAUGGUUGAUUUUUGAAAUUAUUAAACCAGACUCUGACUUCUAUCUGAUGGUCCUUUGA